AACAAAAAUAACUUAAAAAGAAUACUUCUAAACAUAGCACUGCACAAAAGAAAUCAAGCAGAUUCCUUCUUUGAGAGAGCAGAGUUGGCAUUAUUCUACCAGAAAAACACCUAGAAGAUCUCAAGAAGAAAAAAAGGCCUGAAAUUAAAGACUAGGGGAAAGAAUAAGAGUUUUCUCCUCAUGAUCCACUUGCGCAGCAAUGUCUGUCUCAGGAUACAACAGAACGGGAUAUAGGAAUUACAGAGAUAAGGUCACCUUUAAAUUUGAAGAAUGAUGCAUUUGUAAUUUUAAGUUGUUGCCACUUUACCUGAAGAAGUUUCCUGAUACACUCGUGAUGGCCGUUCUUGGCAGCAAGGUGUAAAGCACUGUGUCCUGAAUGGAUUAAAAAGCAAAACAUGGGGAGAAGGUCACACUUCUUGCAUCUUUUUCUAAUCUCUGUCUUAAGACAACUAUGAGGAAAUAAACUGUUCUCCAACAAAGACAGAAUUGUUCCACUGGAGAUGACUUCACAUUCUUUAGUGCAACAAAAGUGGGGGGAAUAGAGCAUCUUGCCCACCAGAUAACAUUCACAGGCUCCAACUGCUGUUCUCUUGGGCUUCAACUAAGCCCUGUACUAGAGGCUUGUGGUGGACUCAUGACAUGCAGCUUAGAUAUUCUGCUUUCAGAAAGCUGUCAAAGUGUGUGUCAAAUGCCCUGCAUCUACAACAGUGUAACCAGGCUGGGGCCACCCCAGACUUAGGAACCCAAAAAGGCAGACCACAAGCCAGCAGAAAAUAUACCAGAGAUCCCUACCUUUGACCCCUUAUUCCUCUUGCCCCCAAAUAUACUCUAGCUCUGAAUGGACAUUACCCAGGGUUUUGGAUUUUCAAAAACUUAUGUCAAAGAAAAGAAAGAGUUGUGAAGCAAUGGACUGAAAGAGACUGCAAUAUUGUGUUGCCCAAAACAGGCUGU